rnacentral:lncRNA from 1 species
UUUUCUCUGUUCUUGAAGUUCUGUAAUCCCUUAACAGGCUUUGUUUUGGUUUUGCAGGUGAAUCCCUUACACUACAGCAAUGAUGGCCCAUCUGCUGGGAGAAAUAUGCUGAUAUAAACAGUGCAGUUUUUCUUAUGUCGUGGUGGUUAUACAAUUGAUGCUAACACAACCAAUUAGAAGCUGUCUCUGAGCAAACAACACAGAGAGAAGACUGGAACUAUGACCAUUUACCAACCUACUCCCCACAUAGACAGUAUGAGCACCUACCUUUCUACUGCAAAUAACUCAAGAGCCCAGACCAAGACCAGAUUUCCACUGAUUCCACUCCCCUAAUAUGAACAGGCUCUCCUAGUUUCUUGCUCCACUUUUACACCCCAGCCCUCUACCACAUGGUCACUGAGCUGAGCACUGCCAAGGAGGCUCAGGGAAAGGAAAGAGGUAUGGCUUGCCCUGAUUUGCUUGAUGUUCUUUUUAGCUCUUCUCUAACAUAC